rnacentral:rRNA from 1 species
GACGGACCAUCCAAACGUUAUUCGGAAUUACUGGGCUUAAAGGGUGCGUAGGCGGCGCGGAAAGUUCGGUGUGAAAUCCCUCGGCUUAACCGAGGAAUGGCGCUGAAAACUACCGUGCUCGAGGAAGACAGAGGUAAGCGGAACAUCGGGUGGAGCGGUGAAAUGCGUUGAUAUCCGAUGGAACACCGGUGGCGAAAGCGGCUUACUGGGUCUUUUCUGACGCUGAGGCACGAAAGCUAGGGUAGCGAACGGG